rnacentral:rRNA from 1 species
CCUACGGGUGGCAGCAGUAGGGAAUAUUGGACAAUGGGCGCAAGCCUGAUCCAGCCAUGCCGCGUGAGUGAAGAAGGCCCUCGGGUUGUAAAGCUCUUUUGUCCGGAAAGAAAAGCAUCGGGUUAAUACCCCGGUGUUCUGACGGUACCGGAAGAAUAAGCACCGGCUAACUUCGUGCCAGCAGCCGCGGUAAUACGAAGGGUGCAAGCGUUACUCGGAAUUACUGGGCGUAAAGCGUGCGUAGGUGGUUCGUUAAGUCCGAUGUGAAAGCCCUGGGCUCAACCUGGGAAUGGCAUUGGAUACUGGCGGGCUAGAGUGCGGUAGAGGAUAGUGGAAUUCCUGGUGUAGCAGUGAAAUGCGUAGAGAUCAGGAGGAACAUCCGUGGCGAAGGCGACUGUCUGGACCAGCACUGACACUGAGGCACGAAAGCGUGGGGAGCAAACAGGAUUAGAUACCCUUGUAGUCCG